GUCACGGUAUGAAAAUUUAAAGAGCAAGUAACGUCUAAAUUAACUUUUUUUUGCUGAUGAACUGUAUAAAUGAGUGUCUAAUAGUGUUUUAAAUGUGUGCAUUCUUUAUUUUAGCAUUUUGGUGCAUUUUCUUUAAAAAUUAAAAAUUCUGUCUAAAAACCACAGUAAUGCGCCACCUUCAGCUGAAAACAUAGAAUUUGAGUCAUUUUGAAUAAAUUUUAGCCAAUGGCUAAAGAGUAAAGUACUACGUAAACCAGUAGAGUACUACGUAGCAGCUCCGUGCCAAAGUUAUAAAAGCAACGAGCGUCUCGGCCACGCCCUGUGGCGAGUGGGAGUUGGAUUUGCAAGCGAGUGUAGGAGGUCAGCGGUAGUUCAGCAUUAGCAUAUAGCAUUAGCAUAUCCUAGUCUUUAGCAUAUCUUUUAGUGUUAUAAAUACUUAUUUAGUGUUAGCUUGGCUGUUGUAUAUUAUAGUUUAGUUAGUGUUUGGCUGUUAGUGUAAUUGGGAAAGUAUUUCGGGUUUAGUGCUCCAUAUCGUCUUAGUAUUGGUGAGUAGGUGUAGUGUAGUAUGGUUGCGGUGACUCUGUGGGCAUUUUACCCGCGAUUCUGCACGUCUCCGUUUGAAGAGGGAGGCUGUGCCCACCGUGGCUCUUCCGCGAUUUAGAUGCAGCCCACCGACUCUGCUUCCCCACCACGGCGGGCUCCAGUCUGAGGUGAGUCAGCUAAAUAAACGUUUUAACAUCUUCUAAAGACAAUUCCCUACCUAAAUGCAAAGUCUGAGAGACGUGGUUCACUUCCUUUAGCUAGUCAGUCGGCAAUUCUGCAACAGUGACUAACUGACGCAGCACUUGACAGACAGCAUUACAGCGUGAAAUCCAGCUUGUGACCCGGUUCUGUGAGGAAUUCUGUUCAGGAGGUCGCAUUUCAGGCUCUCCACAUCAUAUGUGACUGACUUUUACGUUAUAACAACGAUCACACACUAGGAAUGUUAUAAAGCGCCUAUAUAGGAGAUUCUUUUGUAUAUUAUCUGACUAUAAACUCCAACAAUGUGCUUCUAUUUUUUUUUUCAGGCUAAAUCUACCCAAGACACUGGCUGUCAGACUGAUUUAGCUGCAUGAAUGUACUUGUCCAGGCUGAUGUGAAACCUUCCCUGUAGCAAAGCCAGCCAGAAUGGAGUUCACAGCCGCAGUGUGUCUGGUGACCCACGGGGACCAUGAUGAAAAUUCAUCUUCCAGAAGGUCCCAGAGCGUCCAGACCCCCUGAAAAGACCAAGGUGUGAGGUGUCUGCUGUUGAUUCCAGCUUCCACCUCAGUGACAGUGCAAGCUCAGUGAACUGUUCAAGGACAUUCAGCAAAAUAUGGACUCUACACCAUGAGGCAUGCACACAUUAAUAUUCUAUAAGAGCACAUAAGGUGAGCAACACCACAUAUUGUACACUGUCCUGAAUUUGUUUUCUUUCUGCAUCUCAUUAGCCUGGCUGAUCACCUGAUAACUCCUGUCAUCUGGUUAUGACAGCAUGAGGAUGUCCUCACACACCUGUAACCUAUCAGCUCAUCUGGCAGAAUAGAGAGAUAAGAGACAACACCACAUCUCCUGUUCCUGGAAAGCCUUCAGCCUUCCUUCGAUGACUGAGAACCUCCAUCAGCUCUGUCUCCUGUCUGCCUACAAUUAUUAUAAUAAAUAUUGUGUUUGACAA